AUGGGCAAAGAAAAUUUGAAUUCCCAAAUAGAUUGGGAAGCAUUGUUGGCUAGUGGAGUGCCAAUCAGCUUUGACUUUAACGUUAUGGAUCAUGUACCUGAUGGUAAUUACACCUAUGUUCUUGUGGAGACCUCUGAUUCUUCUUCGGUUCAAAAUUUUCUGCAAGAUCCACCUUUAGUUUCAAACUAGUUCUUCUGCUCUGCCUCUACAAGACUCAAUUCUUCAAGAUCCAGUUGUUGAUCAUACCGAACCUACUUCUUCUGGUCUGACUCUACAAGACUCGAUUUUUCAAGACCCUGUUGUUGAGCCUACCAAACCUAGUUCUUCUAUUUUACAAACGUCUCCUUAAUUGUCCCCAAAUUCUGUUCAAAUUGACUUUCCUAAAUUAAAAAAUUAAUAAAAGACAAAUGAAAAAAAUGGCCGCAGAUGCAGGGUCCAAUAAAUGAAUGAAGCCAAAUCCGUGCUUUGAUAAUACUUCCUGUUAUAAAAAUGGACCACUAGACAAGGUAUGAAUUUAAGCAUUCUGAUACAUGUUUCUUAACCAGAAUUUCACGUAGAACACGAUUCGCGCAAUGAAAAGUACUAAAAUUAACUCCUAACGAAGAUAUUAAUGUUUUUGUUUUACAUGGGUUACGGGAAAUUUGAACUGCCCGCUCACAAAAAACUCAAAAGUCUACGUGAGUCAAAUCGCGCACUACAACGGUAGGAGUGGGCUUUUUAAUCGAGCGGUGUUUCUCUCCAUGCCGUGUUGUUCACCCUGCGUUAUAAACUGGAUGAGCGAAUGUGGUUUUUUUUCGUUCUUUUUUUCAUAAUUAUUAAGUAAAAAAUGGGGAGAAAAAACACUUCAAAAGACCUUGUCCAGGCAAAUUCUAACAAUUUGCCCGAGGUCGAUUCAAUUUGCCUGGAGAACUACUUCAAGAAUUCGGAUUAUCUGGCUCCUGAAAUGAGGAACUCUAAGACGGAAAGAUCAACAAGACCAGAGUAUGGUGGCAAUGCCAUAGGAUUUGUGCAACUCCAUAGAGAUAAGGAUCAAUGUACGGUUGAGGCGGAGGUAACUCCUGAGACAAGUACAAGAGCUAAAAGUUAUCGCGUUCAGUGCAUUGUCAAGGAAAGUCUUCCUGAAAGCAACGAGAUAGUUGAGGCCACUUGUUUCGGCUGUGCAGCCUCUGCAGGUGGUUGCGAACACGUUGUGGCAUUUAUUGCAUGGCUCCAUCGGAGAAGCGAGGAGCCCUCCGUUACAUCUAGUACAUGUUACUGGAAAAAAUCUGUUCUGUCAGUGCUUGGCAACAAAAAAUUCAUCCUGGCAAAAGAGAUUGUAACUUCAAAAAAGUCCUCAAAUAUGAAAUUUCCUGAAUUUAAAAGCACGGAAGAAGAACGAAGGAAAUUUUUGAUGGAUAUUUCUUUGGAUCUCAUUAACAAUAAAGAUAUCAUGUUCUCCAAUCAGUUACAAAGGAAAACAUCAUUAUCUGUGCAUCAUCUAAUGUUAGACUUCAAAGACGAACCAACUGAACAAACUGCAACCUCAUUUUUAAAAUUUUCCAGCGAAGAGAUGGACUCAGCAAUGUGUGCCGCUUUGGAGAGAAUGACUAUUAAACAGAGUAAAUAUCAACUUUGGUUCGAUUUACAUUUUGGCAGAGUUUCUGCCUCAAAGUUAUGGGAAGCAGCUCACUGCACCACCGGAGAUGGAACCCUACGGGACUCCAUUUUAGGAGCAAAAAAGUUCAAAGGGACCAAGGCCAUGAGUGACGGACUUGAUUUAGAGCCUCUUGUAAGAAAGAAAGUUCAGCGAGAAUUGAACAUAAAAAUCAAAGAGGCUGGUAUGUUCGUGCGCUCCAAGUAUUCAAUAUUUGGAGCAUCUCCAGAUGGAAUAACAGAGACGCACGUUUUUUAA
rnacentral:lncRNA from 1 species